CAAGAUUCUCUGGACUUAUCUUGCAUUCUGUGUUCCUUGGCAGGAAUCAUCCAUUUCUCCAAGUAGUCCAGAAAAUGUCAUGUGAGGACAAAGCAAGAAAGCAGUUAUUAGCAAGCAAGGAAGACGUCCUCAACAGAAACUGACACCAUCAGACUUAAUAUGGGACUUCUAGCCCCCACAGCUAGAAAAUAAAUUUGUGUUUAAGCCACUCAAUCUACUAUAUUUCAUUAUGAUGACAGCCCUAGGUUUUUCUUCUGUGAUAUUUUCAUCUUUUCCUGAAGUGAAAUUAUGUUGUUGAUAAAACCUCAACCUUUGUUUUUGUAAAAAUGUCUUCAAAUUUCCAUUGUUCUCAAAUAUCCACAUAUGGUAGAAAAGAAAAGUGACCAACUAAAAUAAAGAUUAAAAUA